CGAAUCCUGCUCACAGCGUUUUCCUAAAUUGCAUUCCAUUUUAUUCAUGUUUCUUCAUCCAUAUUCAUACCAUGCUUCUACAUGUUUUUUUUUUAUUUUUUCAUUCACUUCCAAAAUUCAUAAAUCAAUAAAUAUUGAUCCAAAUGAUGUGUGGAUUUUUGCAUCUUUCUCCAUUUUGUUUCUAGUUUUUUAUGAGUAUUUUUCCAGAAAUUGUGCACGGAUGGGAAUUAAUUGGUGUUAGGAUUUGUGUGCAUGUG
rnacentral:lncRNA from 1 species